UGCAGAUUAGUGGAAUCAUCUCACGGUCUUCUGGUAAUUGCUAGAGAAAUUAAUGGAGUCUUUGGAAAAGGUUCUAUGAUAAACAUGAGAUGGUUGAAGAAGAACCUGGUGCACAUCAUGAUCAAAUGUUUUGAUGAAGUAUUUUGCUCCACCAGCCAGA
rnacentral:lncRNA from 1 species